AUGGGAUUAAGUAAAGCACCUGUUUUUUGCACAUGGUCUUCAAAAUAGGAAACCCAUGUGCAAGAACAGGUGCUAUUCUGGGUAAAAGUGCUAAAUAA